rnacentral:rRNA from 1 species
GAGGAAUAUUGGUCAAUGGGCGAGAGCCUGAACCAGCCAAGUCGCGUGAAGGGUGACUGUCUUAUGGAUUGUAAACUUCUUUUAUACGGGAAUAACAAGAGUCACGUGUGACUCCCUGCAUGUACCGUAUGAAUAAGCAUCGGCUAACUCCGUGCCAGCAGCCGCGGUAAUACGGAGGAUGCGAGCGUUAUCCGGAUUUAUUGGGUUUAAAGGGUGCGUAGGCGGCCUGUUAAGUCAGCGGUGAAAUCUAGGAGCUUAACUCCUAAAUUGCCAUUGAUACUGGCGGGCUUGAGUGUAGAUGAGGUAGGCGGAAUGCGUGGUGUAGCGGUGGAAUGCAUAGAUAUCACGCAGAACUCCGAUUGCGAAGGCAGCUUACUAAGGUACAACUGACGCUGAAGCACGAAAGCGUGGGUAUCAAACAGGAUUAGAUACCCUGGUAGUCCACGCAGUAAACGAUGAUAACUGGGCGUAUGCGAUAUACAGUAUGCUCCUAAGCGAAAGCGUUAAGUUAUCCACCUGGGGAGUACGCCGGCAACGGUG